rnacentral:rRNA from 1 species
UGGGGAAUAUUGCACAAUGGGCGAAAGCCUGAUGCAGCAACGCCGCGUGAGCAAUGAAGGCCUUCGGGUCGUAAAGCUCUGUCCUCAAGGAAGAUAAUGACGGUACUUGAGGAGGAAGCCCCGGCUAACUACGUGCC